UUGCCUUCUCUUUGACCACUUUUCUC
rnacentral:piRNA from 1 species